rnacentral:rRNA from 1 species
UACAGAGGUCUCAAGCGUUGUUCGGAUUCAUUGGGCGUAAAGGGUGCGUAGGUGGCGCCGUAAGUCGGGUGUGAAUUCGGAGCUUAACUCCGAACUGCAUCGAUACUGCGGUGCUUGAGGACUGGAGAGGAGACUGGAAUUCAUGGUGUAGCAGUGAAAUGCGUAGAGAUCAUGAGGAAGACCAGUGGCGAAGGCGGGUCUCGUGGACAGUUCCUGACACUGAGGCACGAAGGCCAGGGAGC